rnacentral:rRNA from 1 species
CCUACGGGUGGCAGCAGUGAGGAAUAUUGCACAAUGGAGGCAAGCCUGAUGCAGUGACGCCGCGUGCACGAUGAAGUAUUUCGGUAUUGAAAACUCUAUCCACCUGGGAGAAAAUGACGGUACCUGACUAAGAAACCCCAGCUAACUACGUGCCAGCAGCCGCCGUAAUACGUGGGGGGCGAGCGUUAUCCGGAUUUACUGGGUGUAAAGGGAGCGUAGACGGAGGUUCAAGUCAGCUGUGAAAGUCCGGGGCUCAACCCCGGGACUGCAGUUGGAACUGUGUGGCUGGAGUGUCGGAGAGGCAGGCGGAAUUCAGAGUGUAGCGGUGAAAUGCGUAGAUAUCAGGAGGAACACCAGUGGCGAAGGCGGGUGGCUGGACGAUGACUGACGUUGAGGCUCGAAAGCGCGGGGAGCAAACAGGAUUAGAUACCCUAGUAGUC